rnacentral:rRNA from 1 species
CCUACGGGUGGCAGCAGUGGGGAAUAUUGCACAAUGGGCGCAAGCCUGAUGCAGCCAUGCCGCGUGUGUGAAGAAGGCCUUCGGGUUGUAAAGCACUUUCAGCGGGGAGGAAGGCGGUGAGGUUAAUAACCCCAUCGAUUGACGUUACCCGCAGAAGAAGCACCGGCUAACUCCGUGCCAGCAGCCGCGGUAAUACGGAGGGUGCAAGCGUUAAUCGGAAUUACUGGGCGUAAAGCGCACGCAGGCGGUCUGUCAAGUCGGAUGUGAAAUCCCCGGGCUCAACCUGGGAACUGCAUUCGAAACUGGCAGGCUAGAGUCUUGUAGAGGGGGGUAGAAUUCCAGGUGUAGCGGUGAAAUGCGUAGAGAUCUGGAGGAAUACCGGUGGCGAAGGCGGCCCCCUGGACAAAGACUGACGCUCAGGUGCGAAAGCGUGGGGAGCAAACAGGAUUAGAUACCCCUGUAGUC